rnacentral:misc_RNA from 1 species
GAAAUGCGAUAAGUAGUGUGAAUUGCAGAAUUCAGUGAAUCAUCGAAUCUUUGAACGCACAUUGCGCCCUUUGGUAUUCCUUAGGGCAUGCCUGUUCGAGCGUCAUCUAAACCUUCAAGCCCUGCUUGGUGUUGGGUGCCUGUCCCGCCUCCGCGCGCGGACUCACCUCAAAUCCAUAGGCGGCCCCCGCGUCGGCCACGAGCGCAGCAGAAACGCGAACUCGUGAGCCCGUCCGGGCGGCUCCCAGAAGCUACACCCACCCAGUUUGACCUCGGAUCAGGUAGGGAUACCCGCUGAACUUAAGC